ensembl:lncRNA
GUUGAGUGGUUGGGAGGUGGAGUCUUGGGUUGUUGUGUUGAGUGGUUGGGAGGUGGAGUCUUGGGUUAUUGUAUUGAGUGGUUGGUAGGUGGAGUCUUGUCUUUUGAAUGAGGGAUUGGUAGGUGGAGUCUUGGGUUGCUGUGUUGAGUGGUUGGGAGGUGGAGUCUUGGGUUGUUGUGUUGAGUGGUUGGGAGGUGGAGUCUUGGGUUGCUGUGUUGAGUGGUUGGUAGGUGGAGUCUUGGGUUGUUGUGUUGAGGGUUUGGUAGGUGGAGUCUUGGGUUGCUGUGUUGAGUGGUUGGGAGGUGGAGUCUUGGGUUGUUGUGUUGAGUGGUUGGGAGGUGGAGUCUUGGGUUGUUGUGUUGAGUGGUUGGUAGGUGGAGUCUUGGGUUGUUGUGUUGAGGGUUUGGUAGGUGGAGUCUUGGGUUGUUGUGUUGAGUGGUUGGGAGGUGGAGUUUUGGGUUGUUGUGUUGAGUGGUUGGGAGGUGGAGUCUUGGGUUGUUGUGUUGAGAGAUUGGUAGGUGGAGUCUUGGGUUGUUGUGUUGAGUGGUUGGGAGGUGG